CUCAGUAUUGGUCAGGCAAUAUCCACAACUUUUUUUUUUUCUUUUUUUUCUUUUUUUUUGUCUAGGCCACUCCUCUCUCUUCAGCUGAAAUGAGCAAUUGAUCUUGUUAUCUGUUCUGCCACUAAGAGAUACAACACAAGUUGCACAGUGUCUGCUCCUUCUGUUGGUGUUGUGGUUUCCUGUGCCUAAGUCCCCCAUUUCUUCAUUACACUGGCUGUAUAGGCAUUAGCCUUCUCUAACAGCCUUUCUGCACCAUGUCAUUCAGUAAUGGCUAGUAAUGCAAAGAGAUCUGGAAAAUCUGCUCACUGCGGACCCUGUAAGAGUUUCUGGUUUUCAGACUACACAAAGCAUUAAUGGUCUUCUAAGGAUGGAAGGAAGGAUUUCAUUGCAGAUGCUCCCAUGGAAAUUGUUAUCACUCUUCUAAUCUAGUUGUUCUUCCGUACAGUCUUGUACACAGACUUUUUCAGCAAGCACUAGGAUCAGCUGAGAAUUUGGUAUACAGCUCAUUUUGCCCAUGCAAGUUAUGCAUUUCACCAACUGGACAAGGCUAUUUCUCAACUCAGAGAAUCCAAUGUGCACCUGAACCCCUUUAUGACACAUACAAUAUG